GAUGAACGCUAGCGAUAGGCUUAACACAUGCAAGUCGAGUGGCAGCACAAGGUAGCUUGCUAUCUGGGUGGCGACCGGCGCACGGGUGCGUAACGCGUAUGCAACUUGCCCUAUACAGGAGGAUAACCCGUCGAAAGACGGACUAAUACUGCGUAUGCUCACAACUUGGCAUCAAGUGGUGAGGAAAGAAAUUCGGUAUAGGAUAGGCAUGCGUCCCAUUAGCUUGUUGGUGAGGUAACGGCUCACCAAGGCAACGAUGGGUAGGGGAACUGAGAGGUUUACCCCCCACGCAGGUACUGAGACACGGACCAUACCCCUACGGGAGGAAGCAGUGAGGAAUAUUGGUCGAUGGGCGCGACCCUGAACCAGCCAAGUCGCGUGAAGGAGGACUGUCUUAUGGAUUGUAAACUUCUUUUAUACGGGAAUAACAAGAGUCACGUGUGACUCCCUGCAUGUACCGUAUGAAUAAGCAUCGGCUAACUCCGUG
rnacentral:rRNA from 1 species